GGAAGUAAAAGUCGUAACAAGGUUUCCGUAGGUGAACCUGCGGAAGGAUCAUUAUUGAAUUAUGUUUUCUAGAUGGGUUGUAGCUGGCUUUCAGGAGCAUGUGCACGCCUGUCUGGACUUCAUUUUCAUCCACCUGUGCACCUUUUGUAGUCUUUGUUGGGUAUUGAGGAAGUGGUCAGCCUAUCAGCAUUGCUGAAUAAGAGAACUUGCAGUGCGAAAGCAUUGCUAUCCUCUACUUGGCCAUGGAAUCUUUUUUCCUGUCAGAGUCUAUGUUAUUCAUUAUACCUUACAGAAAGUUAUUGAAUGUCUUUACAUGGGCUUCUAAGCUUAUGAAAAUUAUAAUACAACUUUCAGCAACGGAUCUCUUGGCUCUCGCAUCGAUGAAGAACGCAGCGAAAUGCGAUAAGUAAUGUGAAUUGCAGAAUUCAGUGAAUCAUCGAAUCUUUGAACGCAUCUUGCGCUCCUUGGUAUUCCGAGGAGCAUGCCUGUUUGAGUGUCAUUAAAUUCUCAACUCUCCUAUACUUUGUUGUAAAGGAAAGCUUGGAUUGUGGAGGCUUGCUGGCCACUUAUUGAGGUCAGCUCCUCUGAAAUGUAUUAGCAGAACUGUUUGCGAUCUGCCACAAGUGUGAUAAAUUAUCUACACUGGCAAGGGGGAUUGCUCUCUGUGUUCCGCUUCUAAUCGUCUCAGUGACAAUUUCUUGAAUACUUGACCUCAAAUCAGGUAGGACUACCCGCUGAACUUAAGCAUAUCAAUAAGCGGAGGA
rnacentral:rRNA from 1 species